GGAAGCAGAAGGAAAACUGAGCAAGCCCAGAAGAGAAAAACAGGACUUCAAAGCUGCACAGACAAGCAGAAUGUCAGCAGCUUGUAAUUAGCGGUUCAUGGUUGCGUCAGUGACUGUAUCUCUCCAAGAAUAACUAUGUGAUGUGUGCCACAAAGUGAAGGAGAUAGUCAUAACUAAGUUAUCACACACAGUUCAAACAAGGGCAGAUGGAUUAAGGAAUUUUCUGUGUUUGUAAAUCAAAUACGGAUGGAUUACAUGUAGAAGACUUGCUGAAUUCUGCAUAACUGAAGGCUGAAUUGCCAAUCUGCAUGUGUGUGCGUGGGGGGGGGGGGCUAAUGUUCAUUAUGUUCAUUAAAUGAUACAGUGAACCCUUAAAAACGCAGGCUCAUCUUGUGAGCUCUAUCAACACAUUUCCCUGAAGCUGCAAUGCCAGUCUCCGCUGUGUCCACACAUCACUGUUUAUUUUUGUGCAUUUCAGUGGAGAGAAGUAAAACGUUACAUUCAAGCAAACAGCGACGACUGAAUUCUAACAUUCCCCUUUUAGAAUUCAAAAAUGGCUGUGGGGUUCUGAGCUUUGCUGAUAGCUCUCAUUUAAGCCGGGAAGGAGCUUUAAUUGUCUUAAAGCCAAACAGCCGUGUGUUCAUAAUCCUGUGGAAAGCCAGGGUCCCACAGUUGCUGAGAUUCAAGGGCCACAUUCGCUCCCCUCCGUGGUCUCCUGUGCUUGGAGACUUUGGUGCUAUGACAGCAUCACAAAGAGACAAAGGGAGGAGCUGAUUGGCCGGCAGGCUUGGAAUGCUUACUCUUAUUUGUUUUAGGCGCCCCUCCACGCUCUCAUUCUGUAUCUGUAUUUGUAUUCACACUGCACAAUUACUCCUGACCUGCUUUGUUUCUGUGCCCGAAGAGAAGUCAAUUUUAGUUCAGUUCUGUGCCUUUGGCUUCCUGGGUAACAUGCACAUAUGUAUUGCAUUACCCACGUAUGCAUUUUCCUUUUCGAAUGUGGAUUAGGGAAAAUUGUCGGCAGGCAGAGCUGUGUGUAUUAAAUCAAUAGCUUUUUGAAUCACAUGUAAUAUAAUUUAAAUAUACUCACUUUGAGGUUGCCAAAGCUGACAUUGUCUGAGCCCAUUUAAUUUACAUCUUCGAUUUAGUCAAGAAGCGGAACCUGCCAGAUCAGAAUAGUGUGUUCCGCGCACCCAACAGGGUGGAAGACAUUAUUUUGUUUGUGUUAGUUCAAACAGCUGGUCAUUAAUGCAGUCCCCAUUUCCAGAGAGAAGAGCUGGUGGACAUGAAUGCCUGCCUGAUUAAUGCUGCCCCUCCGAGGGUCCUUCACCCGGCAGUCAGGCCCGCAGCAGAAUAAUGUAGCAUGAUGUGAUUGCACUCUAACGGGAUCGUAUGUCAUUGUGUCACCAAGCAAUUGAGGUUAUUAUGGGGCAGGGCAGACAGACGGGACAGUGGGGUUACUAGACCGUAGCAUUUUUAGAAAUACAGGCCUGACCUACUUUAAGUUAUUCUCUCUGGCUGGCAGCUGCAUGGGACAUAAAGUCUCCUGAUAGGCUGAGGCUGUUGCUAGGGGGAAUUAGCAUGAAUUUUUCCACACACAGACCCAGUGACUGAACGAUAGGAGCUGACUGGAAUUAAAGAGAUUUGGUUUAGCAUUAAACAGAUUUAUCUGACUCGUUUUUCUUUCUCAAGUGCAGAGAAAGAGUGCAAAACACAGAUUUUGUUUCCAUUUGUUCUUUGACCUCCUGAUACUCCCCUGCUGCCUGCCCCACACCCUCCGGGGGCCAUGAGAGGAGGAGAGCAGGACAGUUAUGAAAUUUUGGUUAAUCUCUUACUGUUGGGGUCAUUAAAACGACGCUGCAAAUCGCAAGAUAUUUAAGCGUAAGGACUGCUGAGAAUGGCUAACAGAAGGUCGAUUGUCCUCACUCUUCUGUGCACAGGGCUGUUCUGAAGUUGGACAUGCAUCUUCCACGCCCUGUAUAUUUAAACUCUCUUUCCCUCUUGGGCUUGAACAAAACAUUUAUAUAAAUUCUUUUCUAUCCAAACAGAUUGAAGCUUGCAAUCUCUGGCUUGUUUAAAAUAAGAUGGUCAAAAUUCCAAAUAUAGAUGGAAAAAAAAUAUACCCUUCUUUUUUUUUAUAGUUUUUUUUUUUCUGGGCUAUUUUGAGGUUGGCUCUCUUUUCAGAAAACCAGCCUGCCGUUUAUGCUCAUGGAUGAAACCUAACGGCUCCCCCACCACACCCCUUUGCUUCAUAAUGCACAAAAAAGGCCCAGGUUUUUCUCCAGAAGGAAGUAUCUGCAGAAUUUAUCUGGGGAUUGUUUUUCCUUGUUGCUGACAUAUGCACUGAAUGCAGAGAGCUCACAUAAUCAAUUUUAUAAGAUGACCCAUUUUUUCCCCCUCUCCUGUAUCUCCAAGUGUCUGUGGUUUUAAUAGAGCUUUUCAAGAGGAGGAUUUUUAAUAGAUCUUUUAAAGAUAAUCUGAAAGUCCAUCAGGAGAAAAAUUAAAGCACUGUGUGUUCAAGAAUACUUUGAUUUUUCUCAUUCUAAUUAUAUGCUAUCUGUGCUUAAGCUGCAAUCUCUUUCUGGUGCAUUUUUUUGUGCUGAAAGUAGUUAUUAUCCUGCCUUUCUGAUUUGAAAUUAAUUUUUGUAAGAAAGGAGUGUGAUGUCCCAAGUAAACAAGAAGCUUAGCUACACCAGUGAGGGGGAGGAAUAAUGUAGCUCUUCAUAAACUUGUAGCACUGAAUUUCUUGGCCACGUGUAAAAAGGCAAGAGGAAAUUCAGUUGUGGAUUUUCUGUUUUCAUUUAGGUUUUUAAAAAUAUUCAGAACUGUUUAGAUACAUAUGUUUUCAAGAACAUAUUUCUACUUUCACCACAAAGUACCACCCCUCCCCCCAAACACCUAAUGGAGAAAGAGCCCAGAAGCCUAUCAGUUUUCUUCUUUAAGGAAAAAAAAAUCCAGCAGUGUUCACAUCUAAGCAUAUAAAUAUAGCUUUUCAAGCUAAAAUAGAAUAUAUGGUCAGAUGCUGUAAGCGAUAGAUCAAACCCUCGCCUGCCUUGAGAGUCCCCACAAUAAUAUUUAUUGUAAAGGUUUCCAACCACACUAACAAUCUUUCUUAAUUGAAUAAAAUGUCAAUUUGUAUUUGUUGAAUAAAAGAUUACCUUGUGUGCUUCUCCUUCCAAAUAAAGCAAUUUUUAUUAUUUUUAAUAAGUGAACGUUUUGACUUUUCUU
rnacentral:lncRNA from 1 species